CUCAGAUUGAACGCUGGCGGCAUGACUUAACACAUGCAAGUCGAACGCGAAAGUCCUUCGGGGCGAGUAGAGUGGCGGACGGGUGAGUAACGCGUGGGAAUCUACCCUAGAGCGGGGGACAACCCGGGGAAACCCGGGCUAAUACCGCAUACGUCCUACGGGAGAAAGAGGGCCUCUGCUUGCAAGCUCUCACUCCAGGAUGAGCCCACGUCCGAUUAGCUAGUUGGUAGGGUAAAGGCCUACCAAGGCCACGAUCGGUAGCUGGUCUGAGAGGAUGAUCAGCCACACUGGGACUGAGACACGGCCCAGACUCCUACGGGAGGCAGCAGUGGGGAAUAUUGGACAAUGGGCGCAAGCCUGAUCCAGCAAUGCCGCGUGUGUGAAGAAGGCCUGCGGGUUGUAAAGCACUUUCAGUGGGGAAGAACAGGUUCGGGUCAAUACCCCGGAGCCCUGACGUUACCCACAGAAGAAGCACCGGCUAACUCCGUG
rnacentral:rRNA from 1 species